CCCGCUCCGGCCGCGGGGAGCUGGGGGCCUGCCGGGGAGGGAAGAACGGCGGCAGCCCUUUCCCCGUUCCUCCCGUGCUCCGGGACCCCGAGCAGAGCUGCUCGUUUGUCCCCGUGUCCCUGUGUCUGUCCUCAGGCGGCCCCAGGAGCUGGCACUGACCGUGCCGCGGGUCGGGCACAGGCUGCUCCCAGCUCUGCCUGCGGAACUUCGGCAAUUACCGACAGCAGUUCUUUGCCCUGCCAUCCAGAAGGUGCGGCUCAUCUGACACCAGCCAGACGGGGAAGGCCCUGCCUGGGAGGGAAACGGCUACAGGGGAGGAAACCAAGAAAUGCUCCAACCGGAUGGUGCUGCGCGAGUCAAAAGAGGGGCAAGACCGCGGGCAAAUACAGUCAGGAAAUGAGCUUUUAUUCAAUCUCUGCAGGAGCCCUUCGCAGCCACGGGCCGGAGGGAGCGCGGCCGGCUGGGCUGUGCCCGGCUGGGGACGGGCACCAAUUCAUCGCUGCCCUGCUCAGGGAGGUUUUCCGGCCCCGUCCGGGCUUCACCCAACGGCUGCAAAGGUGCUCGUGCGGCAUCCGAGCUCAUUUCCAGGGAUAAAGGAGCCAAACGAGUCCGGAGGGAUCCCUCGCUCCGAGGCAAAGGCGUUUGGUCGAGUGUCGCCGCCUGGUCCCGCCUGCGGGGGAGCGUCUCCUCCAGGUGAGCCUUCGGAACCCAAAAUGCCGGGGGGGCUCAGGUCGGGGCCGCUUUUCGGGCCCGGAGUUGGACGGAGCCCUCGGCGGCUCCCGCUUCCCGCCAGGAACGUUCUCGGGGCUCCCUGGGCAGUCCCAGCUGGGCAGGGAACGCGGGCCGGGAGGAGGCCGGAGCGACAGACAGCGACCCAGCCCUGCUUGGGCUUCCUAUUGCCAGGGGAUGGAUGAGCUGUGCCCUGGAGCUGUGCCCUACAGCCCCCGUGGGGUGGGCACGGGGAAAGGGCUGCCCGCGGCUCCUCAGCCGGGCGCUGCUCUGGACGGGCCCCCUGAGAUGCCUCACCCUGGACACGCCCCAGCGCCAGCCCCAAAGGACCCAAAGAAUCCAGCUGGCACUCGGCAGUGUCGGCACGGCGGGGCUGCAGAGCAGCGCGGGCAGCCAUUCCCAGGGCCCACCUCCCAGAGCUCCCCCGCGCCCCCCACGGGUGUCCCGCCCGCCCCAAAUCCCUGCCCUUCCAGCCGGAGGCCAGCAGCCAGCAGCAGCCUUAAAGCCAGGGCCAUGUGCCCUCAGCGGCACUAAAUCCCGAGCAAGAGCCCUCGGAGAUGCCUGAAAAGAAAAGAGGGUGCUUGGAGAAAGUUGGGCUUGGAUGCAAUUCGCAGUUUUUCGGGGACCCAACCGCACCUGCAGAACCCGUGGACAGCUUGAACAGGUGGGUCAGAGCCGAGGUGCCCUGAAGGCAGGGCUGUGCAUCCCUUUCCUCGGGAAAAGAACUCCCCGGGGCCGCUCCCGAGGCUCGGAAGGGACAGCGGCUUCCCGCCCGGACAGACGUCCUCGCCCGUGCUCAGGGGCUGCCUCGCCCCGGGCCGGGAGCGCGUCCGGCCCCCGCCUUCUCCUGGGCGAACACAUCCCCUGGAGCCCGGCCCGGGGCGGAAAACCGGCCCAAUUCCAGGGAGCUCGCUCAAGUCCCCCCAGGGACACCAGCGGGGCUGGGGGAGGAGGGUUAUAAACAGCAAAGUCUGUGGAAUAUCAACCUGUCCUUGUCCCGAUCCCGCUGAGCAAACCUGGAACCGUGGCUGCUUCCUGGCAAACCUGGCGUUAGAGCGGCAGCUCUGCGGGGGAACAGCCGGGCUCCAGGAGGCACUGGGAGGCUGUUCCAGCAGGAAUUCGGCAUGGAAUUGCGGGCUGUGAAUUGUGCACAAGCCAGUCCCCCAUUCCCUAUCCAGGCUGGGAGUGCUCGUGCCCUUGGCACAGAUGGCUCUGGCUGGGCAGGAACU